CACAGGCAACUGUUUUGAAAGAGUCUUAAUGUUUAAAUCCUUCUACUCACUUACUGAAAGGGUACUUCGAGAUGAGAAAAGUCUUUCCAGAAUCUAAGCCUGGUCUUUGGGCUCAUUCUUGAGAUAACAGCCAAAUUUCAUUUUAAUCCCAACCGGAAAGGAGUGAAGACUGCCUGCCUCUAUCACAUAAAAUUUUCUUGUGGAUGGGAAGCAUAUUUGCAUAGGGAGUCAGAGAAUUUGCAAAGAUUGAUGAAAUAUUUUCAAAGAAAAUUUUGAAUGAAAGCUGAUGCAAAAGCAGAAAAGACUGUCUUGAAACUCAGAGAUGGAUGGGACACAGCAGAUUUCUGCAUCCACACAUCUUAUGUAAAAGCUGUAAAGUGCAGGCAGCUGUCAGCAAGAGCUGGUGAAAUUGAGGACUCCAUUCUACUCAGACGUCAGAGCACUGAAGAUACUGGAAUCGGCUGGAAUAAACUUUCUAAGCAUUUGAAGCAUUAGAAAGCAAGCAUUCUUUACCCGUGCAGGACACACAGAGGAUAUAUUUAUUUUUUUUUUCAUUCUGUGUGUUUCGUGAGGCUUUACAACAAGGUAUUUAUCCAUCGUAACCAUACAUAUUCAUUAAAAUGUGGUUCUUAUUUAAUACAUAAACAUUACUUUCCUAGAACUAAUUUGUAUGUAUCCACCUUCCACUGGAAGUCCUUUUUUGGUCCUGUAGAGUCAUAAAAAGGGUCUCUGGUGGUUGUAUUCACUGAAGGCUUUGAUAUUAAAGGUGACUUUCCCUUGAACUUUUUCUUUGGGCACGUGCUGUUACUUCUUUGUUACAUGACUUGCAAAAAACCACUGCAGUCCUUUUUAUCUGUUUCUCCACUGGUUCCAGCCAUGUUUAUCCUCCUGUGGUCAUAUUUUAACAUUCAUUUAUCUUUUUUUUUUUGUCAUUUAGUCUUUAAGCUCCAUCCAGCAACUUCAAGGAAACUGAAAAAUUCUAUUCUCUAUAUCAUUUAUCAUUGAUGUCUGAGUUGGAAAAUGAAGGUUUGUUUUCUUAAAACUGAGUAAGACCAAAUCUUGUCUAGGAAACUCCUGCUGGUUGACCUCAGUGUCCUCCACGGGUCCGCUGGGCACAGACUAA